AAUCCCAAAAAUAACGACCCAGUUCGGACUGUAGGCUGCAACCCGCCUGCACGAAGCUGGAAUCGCUAGUAAUCGCAGAUCAGAAUGCUGCGGGUGAAAUACGUUCCCGGGUCUUGUACACACCGCCCGUCACAGCCAUGGGAGUCGGAAAUGCCCAAAGUAAGUAGGCCUAACCGUAACGAAUGUGGCCCCAAAUCAUAAGGA
rnacentral:rRNA from 1 species